UCACUGGAUUAUUUAAUGCAUAGGCUAAUUGGGCAUAUAGUUGAAUAUCUCUGUCAUCAACAUGGAAUGUAUGACUUCAUCUUUUAUACAGUCGGGUUCGGGGUUUCGGGCGGCCAUGACGAAUUUCGGCAAGAUUUUACCCCAGUGAAAAAGGCUUGUAAUCCACAGUUCCUCAACCUGGAAGAUAUGUUUUGUUCCUAACCAUCUAUAAUCCAUUCUCUAUGAAGUGAAGCCUGGCUGCUCUUCCUUUGGAAAUACACAGUUAGUCAAUCAACAUAGAAACACACAAACUUGAAGGAUAUUCUAGUGAGGGCUUAUGGAAAUGAUCUAUGUCUACUCUCAGAAUGGUGAAAGACUAUCAGAUUAUGCAAAGACUAACAGGAUAUCCUCUCUUGGAACACUGAAAUAAGAAAAUCAAACAGGAGGUGGAUGGAGGAUUUAAGA